rnacentral:rRNA from 1 species
GGGUCAGUAGGUUGGUCGUGCCACCGGUGUGUACUGGUCUCACUGAUUCCUCCUUCCUGAAGAACCGUAAUGCCAUUAAUUUGGUGUUGCGGGGAAACAGGACUGUUACUUUGAAAAAAUUAGAGUGUUUAAAGCAAGCUAACGCUUGAAUACAUUAGCAUGGAAUAAUGAAACAGGACGAUCGAUCCUAUUUUGUUGGUUUCUAGGAUUGACGUA